GAUGAAGAACGCAGCGAAAUGCGAUAAGUAAUGUGAAUUGCAGAAUUCAGUGAAUCAUCGAAUCUUUGAACACACAUUGCGCCCGCCAGUAUUCUGGCGGGCAUGCCUGUCCGAGCGUCAUUUCAACCCUCGAACCCCUCCGGGGGGUCGGCGUUGGGGAUCGGCACUUACCUGCCGGCCCCGAAAUACAGUGGCGGUCUCGCCGCAGCCUCUCCUGCGCAGUAGUUUGCACACUCGCACCGGGAGCGCGGCGCGUCCACGGCCGUAAAACAACCCAAACUUCUGAAAUGUUGACCUCGGAUCAGGUAGGAAUACCCGCUGAACUUAAGCAUAUCAAUAAGCGGAGGA
rnacentral:misc_RNA from 1 species